GCCGCGUUCGGCAAGCGGUUAAGCCACAGCCCUCUCAAGGCUGUAUCACGGGUUCGAGUCCCGUACGCGGUACCA
rnacentral:tRNA from 1 species